rnacentral:rRNA from 1 species
UUAUUGGAGAGUUUGAUCCUGGCUCAGGACGAACGCUGGCGGCGUGCCUAAUACAUGCAAGUCGAGCGGACUUU